UACAACCACUAUUCUUCGAGUAGAACAGGUAAGAGUAAAUUAAAUUUAAACUUUGUUUGUCGGUUUUAACAACGAUCUGUUUAGCAUAUUUUUAGUUAGACAGGAAAGGACGAACAUGCGCCCUUCUCCUCUUCGAGCUCGGCGGUCAGAGCCCGAAUCUCAUCCUCGGCCGCCCCCAUUCUUGUCUGGAGCUCCUGUCGCUCGGCCUC
rnacentral:lncRNA from 1 species